GUGUGCUCCACAUCCAACCCACAUCAUGGGAACGCUAUCAAUAUGACAGCAUGGAAAAAACUACACAACAGCUAACAGCCCACGGGACAGCUCUGCCUGGUGAUGCGAGACACUCCGUGGGUUCGGGAGAGGAUCGGCCUGCCGAGAGACGACACCAGCUGUGGGCGGAGCCUCGCCCUGACCCUGGUGCCGUUGGUGAAGGUCUGCCUCCUCUCCAGCCCCGCACAGGAGCGCCCGUCUCCAAGCAGCACAGUACCCAGAGGGCACUGGCACCUGAAGCUGCCAGGCACAUUACGGCACUGGAAGGCACAGGGGUUUGGCGUCUGCUGGCACUCAUCAACGUCUGAAAGGAAGAACAAGGCUCAUAUUAUUCUGUGUGUGUGAGUCAAUGGAAAUGAACUACAGUUAGAAUACAAGUGUAAGGAGAGAGUCUGAAAUGAUAACUGUCCAUCCCUGGAGGCUCCAAAAUAAAAAAAUGUUUUGU